AAUGAACGUUGGCGGCGUGGAUUAGGCAUGCAAGUCGCGCGAUAAACGUAGCAAUACGUGGAAAGCGGCGAAAGGGAGAGUAAUGCAUGGUUAGCUACCCUCGGGUCUGGGAUAGCGGCGGGAAACUGCCGGUAAUACCGGAUAACGUCUGAGGACCAAAGGUGCGAUUCCGCCUGGGGACGGGUCCGCGUCCUAUUAGCUUGUUGGUGAGGUAACGGCUCACCAAGGCGACGAUGAGUACGGGGUGUGAGAGCAUGACCCCGCUCACUGGGACUGAGACACUGCCCAGACACCUACGGGAGGCAG
rnacentral:rRNA from 1 species